rnacentral:lncRNA from 1 species
GAAAGUUUCUUUUUCUUUUGUGUUAGUCUUGCAAGUUUGUCUACCAGUAAAAGAGCAAAGUUUCCUUCCUUUCUUGUUUUCUUUUUAUUUUUUCUUUUGUUCCCUCUUCCCUCCCACCUUUUUUUUUCUUUAAAAAUUCACCUGGCAAAAAAAUAAUAAUAAUAAAUAAAUGAAGCUAUCACUUUAUAAGAAUCAUUUUCUAGUAAUGCAAACAAAUUAUUUUUUAACAAAAAAAUAAAAUAAAAUAAAUAAAAUUAGACUUCCUUCCCUCGCUAUAUAUCUAUCUUUAUCCAGCCCGAGUAUUUCCAACGUCAUUUUGCAAAUUAGAACAGGACAAAUUUUAUGUUUCCGGGGCACAUAUGUUGUAUUGCAAAGCAUAUUUGGCAAGCAGUUCAUCACCAAGGCAGUAGCUAUGAUUCUAGAAGCUAAGAGGUGUCUAUAGAGCUAGACGGGCUUCUGCAUGUGAAAUGCUGUAUUCCAUAGGAGUUAAAAGUGCUGACUGAGCAGUCUGACCCCCACGUGGGCACCUGCACUACCAGUUGUUAGAGGAAAUUCACUCCCUCCUAGUGAGAGUUGAAAGGUCAAAUUAUUUUGAAGACAUUUUUUUUUUUUAAAGUUUUCUGUUAACAGGAAAAUUUAUUUAUUUGACAGGAUUUUAAGUAAUGUAGGAAUACAAAUGGUAAAUUAGCAGCACAUAUAAUUUUUUUUAAAUUUAUGAUCCAUUUUGUAUGGUCUCAAGUUGGAUGACCUCAUUACUAAUAUUUGUUGUAAAAGUGAAACUUGUUUGCCGACCAAUAAACAACUGAUUGAGAUUUAGAAGAGAUUGCUUUGACGUAUGUACUGUAUUAUCAAGUCCUCUUUUGACUUUUCUUGCCUUUCCUUUUCUCUGAUUUUCAGAAUCUAAACUCUCUUUAACCUUUGUGACCCAAGUGAGCAACACACACACACACACACACACACACACACACACACACACACACACACACAAACACACACACUAUAUCUGACUUGAAUAUCCAAACACAGCAUGGUACAGGUUUUUGCAGACAAACUGGACCAGGAAAAUGGGAUGGGCUGAAGCCAGGUACAUAGCUCCCAGUCAAGUGGAAUAACAAAGGUCCUGUGUACUUUCUUCAAACCCAUCUCUCCUCACUAGGCUUUUGACUAAAGACAGUUAUGCAGUGGUUUAAAUAUCACAUGAGAUGCAAUCAUCUCCCUGUCCCCUUUUUGUGGAGAAAUUUGUAAAUUUAAAUUUCCUCAGUUGGCUAAGAAAUGCAAUAGUAAUAGGAAAGAGGUUAUUCAUUGCACAAGAAGAGUUUAAGACCUUUAACACCAACACAGAGCGUUGGUUUCUUUAUGGCAACCUCAAACAAAAUUUGUUGUGUUGAUUCUUGUCCUCCAUCCCUCUGACUCCCCUUCUGUGGCCUCUGACACCUCACCCUGUCCCUGCUGUACCCUUCCCACCUUCAUGCCACAUAUGUAAGACUGUUUUACAUUAUUUUCAUCUUCUUCAAUGUUUGGGGGGGGGGGAACGGACAAAAAUAAUUCCUUCAAAAGAACUUUCUAGAUCAUGCUGUUCCUAUACGACCAGUAUCGAAGGAACGAGUAUUUUCAAGGAGCCCCAUGUAGAAUAAAGCUCAAAUGAACUUUCCAAACUGUAUUUUCUCUUGUGGUAUAUCCUUAGGCUUACUUUACAAAAGCCUACCCAAUAGCUAUCUAUAAAUGAUAUCUUAAAUCAAGGUGAGAGGCGUUGAGAGUCACCCAUAGACACUAUAAAGUCUGUGACAGAAGAAAUUGUGCCAGGCCAGAGCACCCAUUUGUUAAUCUGAAAGAAUCCAUGGAUCAUUCCAUUUUAGUCAGCUGGUGGCAAUAUUUUCUUGAAAUCCAUAGACAUUUUAAUUUGGAGGAGAAGCAUAAGCAUUAGAAGUAAUCACUUUUCUUACUCUAUGCCUUGAGAUUUUACCAAUCUUACCAACAUUACUGAUAACCUAUAUACUGAUAACCUAUAUUUGGUAAUUUUUUUUUUAAAUCCCUCUGUGGGCAAAUCUAACGAAGCCUCAGAACUAAGGCUCUGUUUGCAGGCUGCAGGUAGUUGUGCUUGGUUUAAAAAACAGUAUUCCCAAGUGAAAAUAUCAGUAAAAGGUCAGCUUCAUGGAAUAGUGGGGAAACGACUUCAGUUCAGGUGUUGAGUUGUCCCAUGCUCAGGCUUAACUACUUUCCUAUACAUGGUACUUUGUGUUUCAUUACCCAGAAUUUGAAACAGGUAACCUUCCCGUUUGUUCUGGGAACAAACUGAAGAAAGAUCACUUGAGUACAUAUAUAAAAUCGCAUAUAAGGCCUCUGCAUAUUGUGUGUUAACUUUGCACUUGCCUCAAGAUGAAAGGGCCGUUGUAGAUCUCUCAUAUAUCAGAAACGAAGUGCUUCAGAAAGUCGAGCUGCUUUGCUAUGUGACUCUAAUUAAACAAAAGGAAGAGUAGGUAAAGUAUUUAACUGUGCGUCACUUCAGUAGAAAUUUGUGUAUCCAAUUACUCCUGAUUAUAGCAGCUCUAUGAGUUUCUGACCCUCUCUUCCACCUGACAUUCCAUGUAAAGAAACUGAUCCAUUUAUGCUAUUCACUUUUUCUUUGUUCUAGAACCUUUUGUCGAUUCUAGGUGUUCAGUACCCAAUGGCAUUCAUUGAUAGGCUUAUUUGCAUAGUUUCCAUGAAGUAAAUUUCUACCAAACAGACUCACUGUACAUACAUGGCACAUUAUUUAGCCAGUUGAGAAAGUCAUGUAAAUGAAACAAGCCAAUUAUUGCUUCCUAGUAAAUAAUAUUUUUGUAAUAUUUUACGCUUGAAGUUUUUACCUCUUUGAGGUCUUAAGUAGUGAGAUACUUUGUCAGGGCACUAACUAAAGGACCUCAGGUUUAAUCAAUUCUUGUAUUGAUGGCUUGUUGCAUAGCCAAGGUUGUUAAUUAUAUAAGUAAAUAGAAAUUCAAAGAAGAAAAUUGGUUGGAAUUCAGUUACAUUUCGUGAGCAUCCUUCUUUGUUUUUAACAGUAAAUUUGAACACAUGGGAAAUAAAUACUAGAAUACUCUUAGUGAGUAAAAUUAAUUGGCAAGAGAAUAAUCACAAUUAUAUUAAAAUAAAAAUAAACAGCAAAAGCAAAGGCAGCUAAUUAAGUUAAUCAUAAUUUCCUAUAAAAAAAACCCAUGGUGGUUCCAAAUUAAAACACAGUUUAUGAUCUAUGCUGUUUUUAAGACCACCUCUACAAUUUAAAAGUUAAUACACUAAAAAAAUUCUUUAAAAAAUUAGGCUUUUAAUCUUGAGUGUUAAAAGUGUGAUGAAGCUCUGACUUAAAUUAUAACUUUAAAAACAUUUGUCAGUGACAGACUGUAGUUUUGUAAGAAGGGGGAAGAAAGCUUUUGUCUAACAAGUAACUCUGAACUGAAUUGUAUCCACGCUACAGGAAUGAAGUAUUUAGUUUUUUAGGUUGUUAAUUAACACUGUAUCAAACUCCCAGUACUUGAGAUAUAUUUUGUUGGAAAACAAAAACCACCAAUAAAACAAACAAAAAAAAAAGCCACUUUAACUAUAAAUGAAUGUCAACUUACAUGUAAAGUGUCAAAAAUAAACCAUCUGAAUUUAUAAUCUAAUUUUAAGUGGGACAUUGGCAUUAAUGUUUUACUCUAAGAAAAAUAAUUGGUAUAAAAUACUAUAUACAAGCUUCCCAAUAUAUUAUAUUUAGAAUACAAAGAUUUAAUUGCUCAGGUUUAGAAUAUCAUAAUCUGUCACAUAAACAAUUACUAUGCAUUCCUAAUUAGAAUCUAUAUAUUAGAUCUCUGCAUGUCAAAUUUUAGGAAGUUGAAGACACAAAAGGGACACAAGUACACACAAAACAGAUUUUUGGAAGCAUUUUUCUACAAAUGAAUUCUAUGUAGAAAAACUUUUUUAGAGUUCAUAAAAUAGAUUCCAAAGACUAAACUCAAUUUUGUAAUCAGGAUAUUUGUGUGUCUUAUACCAUUUGAAAAAUAUGGUUUUAGACAUCUCAAAUUUCAUUUAUAAUCCAAAAGCUAUAGCCAGUUGCUAUAGGUGUUUGUGUCCAUAGAGGACAUUUAUUUAAGGCAAUCAUUUACCUCGAUGAUAUCAUGUUUGCUUUAAAAGGGAAAGCGGUCUUUAAAUUGUCACCUGUUUAUGUGUUUACACAGUCUAAUUUUUAAUAAGAUUUCAGAGGAAGUAACUCUUUUACAAGUUUUCACUUGUGGUAUUUUCCAAUUAGGUAGUUUUGUAUAUUCUCAUUUUAAGUAAUUACUUUAGUCUUUUUAUUUAAAUUACAAUCAUUAGUUUGCCUCUAGCACUUUUAAGUUACUAUUAAAAUGUCUCAGUCCAAAUAUGUUUUUGAUCCUUUACCUGUUUUACCAGUAUAUUGAUUAUUCUUCUCUCCAUUUAUAGCUCUGCACCCACACACCCUUGUAGAACAUGAUAAAAGUAAGUGGAAAACUGAUUUAUGUGAAUCAAGGAACAGCUCACAGACGCCAUCUUCUUUUAACCAGCCAGGAUUUUCUUAAACAUAGUAUGAAUUUUUUCCCAACUACACAAAACUGACAUUAGAAUUUUAGAGAAAAGUUUUAGGGAAAAGUGGUGAAAUGGCUUAUGAUAAAAAGCUGUUGUACCUAAAACUACUGAUGUAUUAAAAGAUGUAAAUUCACAUACUUUCAUAAUUUUAAUACCACAGAAAAUACAACAUGCUUUUAGCCAUUCUUUUGUUUGUUUGUUUGUUUUAGAUAUUUCUUACCUGGUUAGAUCUUGUUGCACAGAAAUGUAAAUACUUCAUAAAAGUUUCUAAAAUGUAAGUAUUUUACAUCAACUCACCUUCACCUUCUGAUCUGCUAUUGAGCACCAACACACUUAAUGCUAACCGAGGCUUUUUUUUUUUUUAUGAAUCUCUCUAGUAAACAUUGAAUUCAUAUUAGAAGUAUAUGCAUUAUGCAAAAUAAUUGACAACCAAUAGUCUCAUUACAAAAUAAUUUGGCAUUUAUAUAUAAAUGCUAUUGACCUACCAAAUGACCACCAUGCUGACAGUCCUGUCUUCUACCACUGGAGUCACUUCACACAAUUCUGCAUAGAGCUGUACAUAUUCUGGACUGCUAAAAUAUCUAACAUUACAAAGCUUCAGAAUGGAUCCCCAGUGCUUCUUCCAAGGUAGAAAAGUGAAGGGAAGAUUUUGAAGGAGGAAGUAAUCCAGGCUUCGAGAGAUCUGACUUAGUCAUUGUUCUUGAGACCCAAUAGUUUAAUGUUGACGUGCUAUGAUCUUUGAACUAAGGAGGAAGUUGC